rnacentral:rRNA from 1 species
AGAGUUUGAUCCUGGCUCAGGAUGAACGCUAGCUACAGGCUUAACACAUGCAAGUCGAGGGGCAGCAUGGUCUUAGCUUGCUAAGACCGAUGGCGACCGGCGCACGGGUGAGUAACGCGUAUCCAACCUGCCUUACACUCUUAGACAGCCUUCUGAAAGGGAGAUUAAUACAAGAUGUUAUCAUGAGUAAGCAUUUUCACAUGAUUAAAGGUUUACCGGUGUAAGAUGGGGAUGCGUUCCAUUAGAUAGUAGGCGGGGUAACGGCCCACCUAGUCUUCGAUGGAUAGGGGUUCUGAGAGGAAGGUCCCCCACAUUGGAACUGAGACACGGUCCAAACUCCUACGGGAGGCAGCAGUGAGGAAUAUUGGUCAAUGGACGAGAGUCUGAACCAGCCAAGUAGCGUGAAGGAUGAAGGUUCUAUGGAUUGUAAACUUCUUUUAUACGGGAAUAAACGAAUCUACGUGUGGAUUUUUGCAUGUACCGUAUGAAUAAGGAUCGGCUAACUCCGUGCCAGCAGCCGCGGUAAUACGGAGGAUCCGAGCGUUAUCCGGAUUUAUUGGGUUUAAAGGGAGCGUAGAUGGGUUGUUAAGUCAGUUGUGAAAGUUUGCGGCUCAACCGUAAAAUUGCAAUUGAUACUGGCAGUCUUGAGUACAGUUGAGGUAGGCGGAAUUCGUGGUGUAGCGGUGAAAUGCUUAGAUAUCACGAAGAACUCCGAUUGCGAAGGCAGCUUACUAACCUGUAACUGACAUUGAUGCUCGAAAGUGUGGGUAUCAAACAGGAUUAGAUACCCUGGUAGUCCACACGGUAAACGAUGAAUACUCGCUGUUUGCGAUAUACAGCAAGCGGCCAAGCGAAAGCGUUAAGUAUUCCACCUGGGGAGUACGCCGGCAACGGUGAAACUCAAAGGAAUUGACGGGGGCCCGCACAAGCGGAGGAACAUGUGGUUUAAUUCGAUGAUACGCGAGGAACCUUACCCGGGCUUAAAUUGCAGAUGAAUUACGGUGAAAGCCGUAAGCCGCAAGGCAUCUGUGAAGGUGCUGCAUGGUUGUCGUCAGCUCGUGCCGUGAGGUGUCGGCUUAAGUGCCAUAACGAGCGCAACCCUUGUUGUCAGUUACUAACAGGUUCUGCUGAGGACUCUGACAAGACUGCCAUCGCAAGAUGUGAGGAAGGUGGGGAUGACGUCAAAUCAGCACGGCCCUUACGUCCGGGGCUACGCACGUGUUACAAUGGGGGGUACAGAGGGCCGCUACCACGCGAGUGGAUGCCAAUCCCCAAAACCUCUCUCAGUUCGGACUGGAGUCUGCAACCCGACUCCACGAAGCUGGAUUCGCUAGUAAUCGCGCAUCAGCCACGGCGCGGUGAAUACGUCCCCGGGCCUUGUACACACCGCCCGUCAAGCCAUGGGAGCCGGGGGUACCUGAAGUGCGUAACCGCGAGGAGCGCCCUAGGGUAAAACUGGUGACUGGGGCUAAGUCGUAACAAGGUA